rnacentral:SRP_RNA from 2 species
GCCAGGCGUGGUGGCGGGCGCCUGUAGUCCCAGCUACUCGGGAGGCUGAGGCAGGAGAAUUGCUUGAACCCAGGAUGUGGAGGUUGCAGUGAGCUGAGAUUGCACCACUGCGCCCCAGCCUGGGUGACAGAGCAAGACUCUGUCUCAA